GCAACGCCUCUACGGUGGCAGCAACGGAAACGCCUGCAACCAAUAACGCCCUGCGUAUGGAUUAGCACACCUACGGGGGCGUUGCUU
rnacentral:sRNA from 12 species